UACGUAGGGUGCAAGCGUUGUCCGGAAUUAUUGGGCGUAAAGAGCUCGUAGGCGGUUUGUUGCGUCGGCUGUGAAAUCCCGAGGCUCAACCUCGGGUCUGCAGUCGAUACGAGCAAACUAGAGUGUUGCAGGGGAGACUGGAAUUCCUGGUGUAGCGGUGAAAUGACGUAGAGAUCAGGAAGAACACCGGUGGCGAAGGCGGCCUGCUGGGGUGGAAGACGAGACUUCGGUCUGUCGGCUGACGCUGGAGGCGCGACAGCGUCGGGGAGCAAACA
rnacentral:rRNA from 1 species